CAUCACUCUUCAAGUAAGGUAACAUCUUAAGGUACUUGACUAUUGCUUUUAUAAACUUCUCCUUGGUUCUGGCAUUCACACAAAAUAAAGAGACAAACAUGUAUGAUCUGUAACUCCAAAUUAACCAACUCAAUUAAUUCAACAAGUUUAGUCCUUUAAUCUUUGUUCUUAGUACUACCUUCAUGAUCCCACACUCCUAAUCAUAUAAGCUAAAGUAUUGCACAUUCAAUCUUUGGAAGAUAUAAACAAAACAUAAAUAUAAAUAGAUUAUCUUUGCAUUAGGUUCAGCCAUCUGAUCUGACAAAUGUUUUAAAUGCUACACUCAUAAUCUUAUUAUCCAUCAACUUUGUCUUGCUCACUAUUCUUAAGGUUAGAGAAGAACAAAUACACUUUUGGUUCUGUUGGUGUUUUCCACCAACAGGGCCCAUGCACUUGAUCUCUGCCUUGUCUCUAUGAACAGGUACACUUCAAGCAAAACAUGGAGGAGUUUUACAAAUCCGAGACUCCACCAAGUGAAGGACCUGGAUCUACAAACACAAACACACUGAGCAGGAUAUUGCCAACACCGCACUUCGAACUGCUGGGCAAUCAAAGAAUAUAGGUGACACCGUAUAAGAAGUGCAGACGUCAAGGUCCACACCUAAUCAAAUGAUGCACCUAAAGGAUGAAGACAGUGAGAAGUCUUGUCCAGAAGAUUUAAAACUUUGGAUCCUUGUCGGAGGAGGUCAAGAUCGUCGACUCAAGUCGCCUUUCCUAAUCAAGAAGGACGACCAUGGUGUUCCAAGCAUUGAGUGCACAAUCAACAGAUACUCUUUUUAGAAGACACUCUACGACACCGGAUCUAACGUCAACAUAAUGGCCGCAGUCACUUAUCAGCUCCUGCAUGGAACCAUGCUCCUACAACCAAGAUACAUUCAGCUCCAGAUGACGUUCAGAUCAUUGACAUGGGAGAAGACGAGUACGAUCCACCCAUCAUCCUUGGAAGACCAUUCCUCAACACUAUCAAAGUUGUCAUCUACAUUAGAAUCGGAGAAGUCCACGUGUACAUUCCCUCUGAGAAGGUACACCGCUAUUUUACUGACCCUAACUAUAUAGUUGAAGACUAUAAGCAGGUCAGGACAAGAAGAAGACAACGCAACCGAAACUAGAGGAGGCAAAUCAUCAAGGACGGAUGGGUAGACUACGAAGGAGAAGUGAUAAGGUCUGAAGACAUAUAGCUUGAACAGAACUGUCCUGAGGAGACCGUAGCACCGAGUCAGGUGUGGAGAGAGAAGAUAGUUAUAGCCGCUGGAACCACCGACUACGCCAUCCAGCGAAUCCCAAGACAACUGAGAAAACGGAGAGUCCCGUUCGGAGGACUUAAAAGCACCAAAUGCCUUGCCAAGAAGUAAACUUGGUAGUUAUCUUUUUCCUUUCAAUUAUUCAAUUAUAGUUUGCUUAGUUAAUCAGGUUCAUAUCAUCUCGAAAGGAAAAUAAAAAUGUUAAAAAUAGUAAGCCCCAUGUGAGUAUGCUCAUGGCAUAAAACCCAUAGGUACAUUCACUGUGGUGGCAUAAAAAUAAAAUAAAUAAGUUUUCAUCUUACAAUAAAAAUAUAAAAAUAAUAAGUGCAUGAUCCUGCUAAAUAAGUAAUAUUUAUUGAGGAGGCUCAACAAGAUAAAGGCUAGAUAUUUAUGCUAACACUUAACCAGUUCCACAAAGCUUUGUUGUCUAUUUGAGCUCCACAGGAUUCAAGGAUCAAAAAAGACUAGCAGACGGAGGACAUCCUAAUCAUUGUCAGGGUGCUACCGACUUUCAAAUACACCUCCUUCACCUGCUAGCUACAUCAGAAGAAAUUACGUCAAAAUCCAGCUUGGGGGAGAGCACCCCCAUUUAUCCAGCUAAGUGUUUCUACUCACGUUUAAACUUUAUUCAAAUAAUAAAAAGAUGCAUAAUUAUAAAAAAACCCAAAUAAAGAUUUUGUGCUUAUAUAUAUAUAUCUUUGCUUAGUUUGCUAAAUAAAUAAAUAAAUAAAGUUUGCUAUGAACCCUCAUGAUAAACUCUCACAUGGAAAUGACGAAUAGUUGCUCUGCCAUGACUAGUUCUUAAAAUUGAAAUCUCUCUCAAGUUUAGGCAUAACUAUUAUGAAUUAAGAUUUGCUCUAAACCUGAACUUGUGGGAAGAGUACUUGAUCUAAAGUCUAAGUCGUUAACGGAUAUGAUAUGGGAAGGUUGAGCUCCUGUUUAUUUGUUCCUAGAGAUGCUAGAAUUCUGGAGAAUUUUAUCUUUGAAAAUCUUUAAAAUAACACAUGAUGAGUUCCUGUAUGAUGAGAGUUUAAAUUCCUACCACAGCCAUAUAUACAUGCUUGCUAGACUUUGAGCCACACAUUUACUUUUUACUGCUUAUGAGCAUUGAGUAUGGUCAAGCUGUGUAGACCCUUAGGAGCUUGUCAUGUGGUUAAAAUAAAGAUUCACUUGCAGGUUCACUCGUAUAUGUUGCUUCUACUCCGGAAGUACGCAUCCACAUACAUCCACUCAUUUCCAUCUCCAAAUUCACCUAAAAUUAUUCUACUCCUAUCCGGGAGAGAAUAGCCAAAAACAUUUCUGUUUUUCCCUAUGAACUAAAUGCUCGAGUUAUCUUGGUUACUACCACUUGCUAUAUUAUUUCAGGAGAUGGGUGCUCUAAAAAAAGAAGAAAGAGAAAAGAAGAAAAAAAAGAAGAGAGAAAUAUACGAGGAAAUAAAAAGGGGCAAGUGCCUGGAACCUCGAGGAAAAGAAAAAGUGAGACGAGAGGUAAAAAUGGACAAGUGUCCGACACUAGAAUUAGGGGUACAAGAUAUCCACCUGAGAGGAAAGAAAAAGAAAAUAUAGAGCAUCUCAUUCUCCUCAAAAAGCUUCAAAGUGCAAGAAAGGUAUGUAUCCCCUUAAAAGAGCAAAAGUAGAAUUAGACUUUCACCAUUGUUAUCACCACCAUCACCAUACACCAUUCAUUCGCCACACAUGCACAUCUUGAUUUGACUUAUUGACUUGUUUCUUUCGAUCCAUGGUUUGACUAUGCAAUAAAUGUCUUGUAAGUAUGUAUUAGCUGUCUCCCACCUAUGAGCUCCAGAUAUCAAAACCUUAUUAGAGUAGGGGGAGAGAGAAAGCAAUAUCACUAUGCCUCAUACCACAAAUACUACAUACUUUGAGAGAAGGCAUAUACCAUUAUUGCCUUGGUAAGGAUCCAAAAAUACCACAAAAGAGAGAUUUGAGAGUCAUACAUGGAAUCUCUGAGUUUUAUUUGAAAACCUUCAAAAACUCCAGAGCUAUAGCUGAUCAAGAAUAAGAGACAUGGCGCUUGACUUGACUGUUCUAUCUUUUAACUGCUCAAGACACAAGUGACGGUUACAAGCCCCAUGGUGAAAGGUAAAAUGAGUAAGUUUUAAGUCUUAACAGUUUAUUCUAACUCAGGGAUGAGAUCUUGCUUGAAUGCGUGUGUACUUUUAAGACAUAAAACCACUCCAGAAACUCUUGAGUUCAUCCUUGCUCAGGGACGAGCAAGAGGUAAGCUUGGGGGAGUUGUUGACGGUCCUUAAGUACCAAAUAUAAUCAUCAAAUAAAUAAAGAAAAGGAUCCAAAUGCAACCAACACCUAGACUAAGGGUUUUAUCUGACAGAAUUCCACAAGUUUUGGUGUUUGUCUAUUUCUACAAGGGGUUUAUCAGGAAUUAUGAAGGAAAGACCCAC
rnacentral:lncRNA from 1 species